GAUGAACGCUGGCGGCGUGCCUAAUACAUGCAAGUCGAGCGAACAGACGAGGAGCUUGCUCCUCUGACGUUAGCGGCGGACGGGUGAGUAACACGUGGAUAACCUACCUAUAAGACUGGGAUAACUUCGGGAAACCGGAGCUAAUACCGGAUAAUAUAUUGAACCGCAUGGUUCAAUAGUGAAAGACGGUUUUGCUGUCACUUAUAGAUGGAUCCGCGCCGCAUUAGCUAGUUGGUAAGGUAACGGCUUACCAAGGCAACGAUGCGUAGCCGACCUGAGAGGGUGAUCGGCCACACUGGAACUGAGACACGGUCCAGACUCCUACGGGAGGCAGCAGUAGGGAAUCGUCCGCAGUGGGCGAAAGCCUGACGGAGCAACGCCGCGUGAGUGAUGAAGGUCUUCGGAUCGUAAAACUCUGUUAUUAGGGAAGAACAAAUGUGUAAGUAACUAUGCACGUCUUGACGGUACCUAAUCAGAAAGCCACGGCUAACUACGUG
rnacentral:rRNA from 1 species